rnacentral:rRNA from 1 species
GGGGGGGGGGGGGGGGGGGGGGGGGGGGGGGGGGGGGGGGGGGGGGGGGGGGGGUGGCGCCGGGAGGAGUGAGGGGCGGGGGGGGGGGGAACGCGGGAGGGACCGGCCUCAGAGGCGGGGACAACUGGUGGAAAGGGUAGCCAACACCGGAUAAUAGCAUUAACGGCAGGGUUGAGGUUAACAAGUUGGUUUUGCGAACACUAUGCGGUGGCUUUGCGGUGCAUUAGGUGGUUGGUGGGGUAAAGGCCUACCAAGGCGACGAUGCAUAGCCGGCCUGAGAGGGUGAUCGGCCACACUGGGACUGAGACACGGCCCAGACUCCUGCGGGAGGCAGCAGUAGGGAAUCUUCCGCAAUGGGCGAAAGCCUGACGGAGCAACGCCGCGUGAGUGAAGAAGGAUUUCGGUUCGUAAAGCUCUGUUGUUAGGGAAGAAUGAUUGUGUAGUAACUAUACACAGUAGAGACGGUACCUAACCAGAAAGCCACGGCUAACUACGUG